rnacentral:rRNA from 1 species
UACGUAGGUGGCGAGCGUUAUCCGGAUUUAUUGGGCGUAAAGCGUGCGCAGACGGUUUAUUAAGUCUAAAAUGAAAGCCCGAAGCUUAAAUUCGGUUUGUUUUAGAAACUGGUAGGCUUGAGUAUAGUAGAGGUAAAUGGAAUUUCUAGUGUAGCGGUAAAAUGUGUAGAUAUUAGAAGGAACACCAGUGGCGAAGGCGAUUUACUGGGCUAUUACUGACGUUCAUGCACGAAAGCGUGGGGAGCAAAUA